GAAAAGAGAAACUUCCUGAAGGCAAAAUGCAGGUCACCUGGAAACACUGACUUCAGCCUUCUCACAUCUCCAUUUGACCUCCUGUCACAAACUAACCAAAGCUCUAAAAGGACCCACUUUAUCUCCCCACAAAGGGGAAACCUGCCUCCCUGCAACAUUUAUCUAAAGUGGUUAUGCCGUAAAAAUGUGAUGACUGCCUCUGCAGCACUCACCUGCUUCUAUAAUGGGAUAAUUGCAGAUAAAGCAGGCAAAACAGCUGUUUCCAAGGAAAUGAAGAUAGCUGAGAAGCUGGUAUGAACACUCUAAGUAAAUGAAGAUAUCAAGUACAUUUGACUGUUGGAGCACUAGGAAAUGAUUAAUGACCCUUUAACACAUUAAAAAAAGAUUGCCUUAAGGUGUAGCCCCAGGAAAAAUACAUUACUGGCUCAAGACCUGAGCUGAUGAAUGCUACUCUUAUGGCAGUAAGUUCAGGAUCUGAAGCACGCUCUUAGAGUUAUCGCUAGCUGGAGACAGCAGGAGUUAAGUGGAAAUGUUCCAGGACAUUGCUGCUGAAAAACCCUUUCUAGCAGCUGAGGAUCCACAAACCCCCACAGCAGGCAUUGUGACAUCGAGACACCCUCAACUGGAAAAGAAAAUACAAUAUUAGUCAGGGCUUCAACAGCUCUCCAGAAUGUCAUCACUUUUAUUGGGACUAAAUCUUAGCCAGUUUCCCUACCCUGAGUGGAUGGGUAUCUGGACCACGCAGCCCACUCAUGCAUUGAGAAUGACAAGAAACAGGAACUGUUUGAUGUCUUGGGAUAAAAAACCAUCAGCAUCGCUUUACCAACAACUGGUUUUGUAGAUUGCCCAUCCCUCCAAUUAAAAAUAAAGCAAUCAUCUAACGGCAAAGGCCCCUCAAGUGAGGAGGCACAAGAGGGCAGUAUUACGUUGAAUUGAGUCGCACAGGGGUGCUAUUAGCAUGGGAACACUUUAUGGCUGAUUAAUUUAUCCUGUUCGUGAAGAGGCAUCUGCUGAGGAAGCGGCAGGGUGAGGCUCGGUGGCUGGUGGAAGAGGUAGCCAGCUCAGAGCCACCUUCAUCUGCUGCUUUGGUGUCAGCUGCCUGGGGAUGUGCUGAGCAUGGGGUUACAGGAUAGGAGUCUUGUGCUGGGGCUGCAGCAGUCCCUGGAUUCCCAUGGGAGUCUGCUGUCUGUCUGUGCACUGGGCUUUCCAUCCUACCUUGGGCACAGGGGUGGCACUUGUCUGGAAGCUCAGCAGAGGAGCUGCUCCGUUAUCUGCAUCUGGAUUUAACGGGCAGGAGUGGCAGUCCUUCACCGAAGACAUCCCAGCUCUGCCGGAGCAUUUGUGCCACCACCCAGCAGACACCAGAAAGGCCACGGCUGGUCCAACACAGGGAUCUGCAGCCCCGUACUGUGCCAGUAAAAGACAACCUCAUUGUCGCUCAGUGCCUUUUACAGCACAAUAAAAGAGGAGAAGUUAAAAAAAAAAAAUACAUGCACAGAGACUGCUGUGAGCAUAUAAAAGGAGCAGUGCUGAAGGUAUCCACCCAGGGGGAGGAGGGAUGGGGAGAGGAACCUCUCCACAAAGCCAGCACCACAUCUCAGCAGGGCUCCAGUAACCUGAUCUUUCCCAGCGUGGCCCUGUUUUACCAGGAGCCCUCUGGCCUCUGAGGCUCCUUUGUCAGCCUCUGAUUUUUUUUGUGAAUGAUCUGAGAGCGUGGGUUAUCUCUAACUUUUCCCCUGUUUUCAAGGAAGCAGGGCUUUAAAAGCAGUGGUUGUAUGUGUAAGGCUGGUGGUUAAUCUUGAAAUAUGUAUACUGCACACGCAAAGGCUUGAGCAGAGACAUGCAUAAUUUAUCUGUGCCUGGAGACCGCUUGCUUUUGUGCUGUCUCAUUUUCUGGUGGUUGGAUCAUGCCUGGGAAUGGACUUAAGGCAUGGACAUGAGCUCGGUGCUCCAAUCCCAAAAUGGAGGACCCUAAAAAACUCCUCGGUACGUCAUACUGCCUCAGCCAAGCCUGACAGACUCAGCUGGUGCAAAGUCCUAGGAGAUCCCACUGCAGGCUCAAAGCCUCAGGCACCAUUUUUUGAUGUACACAAAAGACCUUGUUUUAAUAGGAAUUAAUUAGCAGUUUAAAUACUUGCAGGGUAGGAAAUCCCCCAUGGGGUAUACUCGUUAAGGUUUCUUUACACAUUACCUCCCAGGAGGAUGCAGACUUUCCCUUACUUUCCAGCAUCCCUUGCUGCUUCAGCAAUAACUGCAGUAAUUGUAUUGCAGCCACAAAAUACUGCAGCUGCAACCAUAAAACCUUUCCAAUGCUCAUCCGUUCCCCUGUGCUAGAUGGGAUUGUGAUGGACAAUAAUUUAUCAAAGAGUCUGGGGUUAUAGUGCCACAUAUUCGUGCCCGGGGUGGCUUUAAGCAAUGAUGAGGUGAUAAUGUCAGUGUAACCACAUAUCCUGUUUGCAUUAUUUAUUGCUCUCAUGAAUGACAAAUUCAUAUUUCAAAAUGGCUGAGGCAUUUAUCUGCCAUCCCAAACAGCCGAGUUAUGAAUGUGACAUAAUCUUAUCUCCAGGGCAGACAUUCCCUUUUAUUAUUGGCAUUUAUUAAGAGAAUGUGUAAUUAAAGAAAAGCAAUUAACCUAUUUCUAGGAACUUUCUAUCUUGAAUAAACAGGCAGCUAAUGCAGAUUUAAGUGUGCUUGUGGGAGUCCUGCCUGUUGAAGCUGCCUUCUGAGGCAGGUGGGCUGCAUUACAACGAGGGAGAGGACUGCGUAUGAAUGCCUACACAAUGCUGCAGAAGAAUUGCGUCCCCUUUUGGAGUUUUAAUUUCAGAGACAGGUUUCAAGGGGGUAAUUUUAACUCUUAUGAUGUGAUGAAGUAGUAGGGGCUGAGGCAGGAGGAAUCCUGGUGGGAACCUGUUGUGGCUUUACAACAGAUAGAAAAAUCCUGGCAAUUUGGGAAACCCUCACAACUAGGGUGACUGAAUGGGCAGGAGUCUUACUUUGUUUUCCUUUUCUACUAAUGAUCACCAAAUAUUCAAGAAGGCCAGCCAGUAGAAGCAGUUAAAGAGUUAAGUAAGUCUAAGUUAUCCCAUCAGCAGUAAUCAACGCUUGCAGUGUGGGCUGGCUCUCCUCUGACACAUGUGCUCUGCAUGGUGUGUGGCUCGCCCGUGCUGUGCUUGCUGCAGUGUGGGAUGCUUUGCUGGAAGAAAAAACUCCUAUGAGCCCGCUAUCACUAUCCCACAUUACCCCAUUUUUGAAGAAAUGUGACUAAUUCCUCUCAUUAUAAAAAAAAAUAAAAAAUAAAAAUAAA